UGGUGGCUGCAGUCUUGGUGUGACUGAUCUGCCUCCAUAGGAGCCUUCUUAUGGCAUCACUGAAGCGUUGGGCUGCUGCUAAAUGGCUUGGGCAAAACUCAUUGCUGCUCUUCAUCCAGAAGGCAGGAGAAGGAGGUGUCCUGUAACUCACCACCCAGUGCAAAGUCCUUUCCACUUAUCCCACCUGCAGACAACAAUGGAAGAGUCCUCUGAAAAUGUACAGAGAACCUGUCUCUUUUCCAAGGGUCUGCAAAGAACUUUUUUCAGUACUCUUGCCAGAAGGAGCUCUGUAGGAGCCUGGAAUUUCUGUGAGGAAUGACACACACUAGUACAAAGGCGGUGCAUCUGUUGUGAAUGGCAGCUGUUGCACAGCGCUGAGAAUUCCAUAUCCUCUUGCUAUUUACAGACAACUGUUUUGUAUCUUAUCUGUUUUGUACAGACACCUGUAAAAUGUACUAAAUGAAUUUUUCUUAGUGGAGUCACCAUCUGUGUUUCAGAUACUCAUUUUUAAGUAGUAUAGCUAGACAAGUAUGUUAAAACAUCCCAGAGUUCUUUUUAAGUGUUGACUAAACACUGAGGAUUACCAUAUAAAGAUACAUUAAGGCUUUCUCAUCACUCACAGGGAGUUACUAUGCCUAUGAAUUAAGAGCAGCAUGUAGUCUGUAACAUUGAAGCUUAAGUCCCUAUUGUAGUAUGUAAAAUUUUUCCACUAAAUGUAAAACGGAUGAGUUAAUUCCAUUUAUCAUUAAAAGAUGUUGAAAAUUGCAGGGGGUCUUUUGUUUUAAAUCAUGAUAUUUCUUCUAAGGAAAUGGAAGACAGUAAACUGUUAGAACAGCUAACACAGAUGAAAGUAGAGAAAUUCCCACUACAGUAGGGAAAGCAGAAAAGAAAUAAUUUAGAAAGUAGUUUCAGCUGACCCCUUUGAUAAAACUAUGUUGCGUGACAUAUCUGAUGUGGAAACAGAAAUUGUACAGCAAUAGGAAGUUGUUAUCUCCAUAUCUCAAAUGCUAAGACAGUUCCCCGAGUCAACUGUGAGACAGAUCUACUCUUGUUAUGACAGCUGUUGGAAACUGAUGUCAGUAUAACUGUACAAUGUCUUUUGAUAGUCUUAACUAUUACAAACCUUAAAAUAUGUUUACGAUGUUAUCUAAGACAUUUUGUUUGGAAAUGGCUCUAUUUAUAACCAAGAAUUGCUCAAGCUAUUUUAAUAAAUAAAUGAUAUUUAUA